GACGAACGCUGGCGGCGUGCUUAACACAUGCAAGUCGAACGGUGAAGCUCCAGCUUGCUGGAGUGGAUCAGUGGCGAACGGGUGAGUAACACGUGAGCAACCUGCCCCUGACUCUGGAAUAAGCUCUGGAAACUGCGUCUAAUACUGGAUACGAGAACGUUCCGCAUGGGCACUUUCUGGAAAGUUUUUCGGUUGGGGAUGGGCUCGCGGCCUAUCAGCUUGUUGGUGAGGUAAUGGCUCACCAAGGCGACGACGGGUAGCCGGCCUGAGAGGGCGACCGGCCACACUGGGACUGAGACACGGCCCAGACUCCUACGGGAGGCAGCAGUGGGGAAUAUUGCACAAUGGGCGAAAGCCUGAUGCAGCGACGCCGCGUGAGGGAUGACGGCCUUCGGGUUGUAAACCUCCUUCAGCAGGGAAGAAGCGAAAGUGACGGUAACUGCAGAAGAAGCACCGGCUAACUACGUG
rnacentral:rRNA from 1 species